UCGGCCUGGAAUUGUGACAGGUUGCAAGAGUGUAAAUGAGCAGAGAUUUUGUCACUACAUGCAAAAUACAGGUCAGAAGACACCACCAACCCCAGUGACAGACAGGCUCUUUUACCCGUACCCUGAAUCACCACAACCCCAGAUAGUCUCCAUUGUUGGAAGUCCAUUGGAGUCCCAGGAUCAAGUUAAGUCUACUGACCUCCAUCAGAACUGCUGGGCAGGGGUGGCAGUGCAAACAUUUCUUUCUAGUAAGGCCCAGGGUGGCGUGUGUGGACAGGAGGAGCACCACGUGAUCCCACACCUGUGACUGGGAGCUGUCCUGGACCAGCCAGUCAUCCAGAUGGGGGAAGAUCUGGACCUCACGACAUCUGAGGGUCUUGCCAUCAAAUUGGAGGUUCUGCAAGGAGUUCUGCACCUCGCUGGACAGCCCAGACAGCAGGAGCCACGAUGCCCUCCUCAUGGACACCACGGAGGCC